rnacentral:rRNA from 1 species
AUUGAACGCUGGCGGCAGGCCUAACACAUGCAAGUCGAACGAGUGGCGGACGGGUGAGUAAUGUCUGGGAAACUGCCUGAGGGAGGGGGAUAACUACUGGAAACGGUAGCUAAUACCGCAUACAAUCGUCUGUGCCGAGAUGGGAUUAGCUAGUAGGUGGGGUAACGGCUCACCUAGGCGACGAUCCCUAGCUGGUCUGAGAGGAUGACCAGCCACACUGGAACGGAGACACGGUCCAGACUCCUACGGGAGGCAGCAGUGGGGAAUAUUGCACAAUGGGCGAAAGCCUGAUGCAGCCAUGCCGCGUGUAUGAAGAAGGCCUUCGGAUUGUAAAGCACUUUCAGCGGGGAGGCGUUACCCGCAGAAGAAGCACCGGCUAACUCCGUGCCAGCAGCCGCGGUAAUAC